rnacentral:misc_RNA from 1 species
GAUGAAGGACGCAGCGAAAUGCGAUAAGUAAUGUGAAUUGCAGAAUUCAGUGAAUCAUCGAAUCUUUGAACGCACCUUGCGCCCUUUGGACAUUCCGAAGGGCAUGCCUGUUUGAGUAUCAUGAACACCUCAACUCUCACGGCUUGUCCGUGAUGAGCUUGGACUUUGGGGGUCUUGCCGGCCUGUGGUCGGCUCCUCUCAAAUGGAUCAGCUUGCCAGUGUUUGGUGGCAUCACAGGUGUGAUAACUAUCUGCGCUUGUGGUUUUCCAUCAGAUAACCUUCAGUGAUAUGGAGGUUCGCUGGAGCUCACAAAUGUCUCUCCUUAGUGAGGACAGCUCUUUGAACGUUUGAUCUCAAAUCAGGUAGGACUACCCGCUGAACUUAAGCAUAUCAAUAAGCGGAGGA